rnacentral:rRNA from 1 species
UACGUAGGGCGCAAGCGUUGUCCGGAAUUAUUGGGCGUAAAGAGCUCGUAGGCGGUUUGUCGCGUCUGGUGUGAAAACUCAAGGCUCAACCUUGAGCUUGCAUCGGGUACGGGCAGACUCGAGUGCGGUAGGGGAGACUGGAAUUCCUGGUGUAGCGGUGGAAUGCGCAGAUAUCAGGAGGAACACCGAUGGCGAAGGCAGGUCUCUGGGCCGCAACUGACGCUGAGAAGCGAAAGCGUGGGGAGCAAACAGG